ensembl:snoRNA
CCUACCUCUAAAUGUGUUGCAAGUGUAGCUGCUAUGUCACAUGUGCAUCAGUAGGUGACAGAGAAGAGAGAGACUAUGUCUAUGCUCAGUGUUCCAAACUGUGAACAACUGACUGAUUAAUAAUCUAACAUU